UACGUAGGGUGCGAGCGUUAAUCGGAAUUACUGGGCGUAAAGCGUGCGCAGGCGGUUUUGUAAGCCAGAUGUGAAAUCCCCGGGCUCAACCUGGGAAUGGCAUUUGGGACUGCAAGGCUGGAGUGUGGCAGAGGAGACUGGAAUUCCUGGUGUAGCAGUGAAAUGCGUAGAUAUCAGAAGGAACAUCAGUGGCGAAAGCGGCUUCCUGGUCCAGUACCGACGUUCAGGCACGAAAGCGUGGGGAGCAAACAGG
rnacentral:rRNA from 1 species